rnacentral:rRNA from 1 species
AUGGGUGCACCUCGUCCACCCGCGCGGCAAGCCAGCAAGAAGCCUGCGGCUGCUCCACUCUACUCCCCUGGACGCGGCUACAAGCCCGGUACCGCGCCUCCACACGCGGCGUCACUCCGUCGCGGCGGCGCACCUCACGACGCCGGCGAGCUCCGGGCUCUUCUGAAGCGCUUGGCCAACGCGUCCCCGGCACCCAGCGAGGCCGCGCCGGCGCUGCACGCCCACGCCGCAAAGCUCGGCCUCGGCUGCCGCCACCGCGGCGUCCGCGACGCCCUCGUCGCGCUCUACCUCGCCUGCGGCCGGCGCGGCAUUGCGCGCGCCUUGCUGUCCGCCGGUGGCGGCCCAGCGCCCGACGUCGUUUCUUGGACGGCCCUGGUGACCGGCCACGCGCGGCUGGGGCUGUUCCGCGAGGCCGCGGCGCUGUUCCUUGCCAUGGCGGACGACGGCGCGCUCGUCAUCGACGCGGUGGCGGCCGCCGCGGCGUUUGGGGCCUGCGCCGGUGCCGGGGACCUCGCGCUGGCCAGGGAGGUGCACCGGCGAGUCCUCGAAGCGGGAGUGUCCCUCGACGUCGUCGCGUGCAACGCUCUGGUCAACAUGUACGCCAAGUGCGGCGACGCGGCGGCCGCGCUCCGUUUCUUCCGUGCGAUGGCGCCGGCCAAGAACGUGGUGACCUGGAACACGAUGAUCUCCGCGCACGCGCGCGCGGGCGAGCUCCAGGAGGCGCUGGAGCUGUUCCGGGAGAUGCUGCAGCAGCAAGGCUGCGCGCCCUCGCCGCUUCCUGACGACGCAACGUUCGUCGCGGUCCUCGGCGCGUGCGCGCGGCUCGGCGCACUGGACGCCGGCAGGUGGGUGCACGCCUACAUGGGCAGGACCGGACGGGAUGCCGCCGACGGCGUCGUGGGCAACGCGCUGAUCGACAUGUACGCCAAAUGCGGGGCCGUCGAGCAGGCCGCGGAGGUGUUCGACGCAAUGACGCGGCGAGACGUGUACACCUACACGUCCAUGAUCUCCGGGCUCGCGAUGCACGGCCGGGGCGAGGAGGCGCUGGCGCUCUUCGGCGACAUGCGGCGAGCCGGUGUGAGGCCGAACGAGGUGACCUUCCUGGGCGUCCUAUCCGCCUGCUGCCACGCCGGAAACAUCGAAGACGGUCUCCGGCAUUUCGAAGCCAUGGCGGAGCAGCACGGCGUGGUGCCGGGCAUCGAGCACUACGGCUGUGUCGUCGACAUGCUCGGCCGCGCCGGGAGGCUGGACGAGGCGGAGGAUCUCGUCUCCGCGAUGCCGAUCCGGCCCGACGCGCUCAUCUGGGGCUCGCUGCUCGCGGCCUGCCGGGCGCACGGCCAUGUCGACCGCGCCGAGCGCGUGAUGCGGCGGAUGGCCGAGGACGAGGCCGACGCCGGGGACUACGUGCUCAUGUCGAACAUGUACGCGCACGAGGGCCGACACGGCAAGGCGGUGCAGGUGAGGCGGCAGAUGAGGAGAGGCAAGGUGGACAAGGUCCCCGGCUGCAGCCUCAUUGAGAUCGACGGCGUGGUGCACGAGUUCCAAGCAGUUCCGGCGAACUCCGUCGAAAUCUCCGAUGACGCAUCAGACUUUUUUAGCUGA